rnacentral:rRNA from 1 species
AACGAACGCUGGCGGCGUGGCUAAGGCAUGCAAGUCGAACGGUACGGUGUAGCAAUAUGCCGUAUAGUGGCGGACGGGUGAGUAAUACAUGGAUAACGUACCUUGGAUUCAGGGAUAACAGCGUCCCAACUUCGGUUGGGGCUUUGCGAAAGUGCUGCUAAUACCUGAUAACCCCGCGGAACCGCAUGGUUCUGCGGGCAAAGUUCCGCGAUCCGAGAUCGGUCCAUGUCCUACAGCUAGUUGGCAGGGUAACGGCCUACCAAGGCUUUGACGGGUAUCGGGUAUGAGAGUACGACCCGACACAUCGGAACUGAGACACUGUCCGGACACCUACGGGUGGCUGCAGCAACGAAUUUUCCGCAAUGGGGGCAACCCUGACGGAGCGACGCCGCGUGCAGGAUGAAGUC